UCUAAUAAAUUAGGAAAAAAUACUUCUUACUUCUUUCUUUUAGGAAGAAGUGAAUCUUCUUUGUUCUAUGGACUGAGUCAUGAGUCAUCAGUCCUCAGUCAGAACAAAGAAUUUUAUAACAUAAAUUGAGCAGAUGAGCUGCUUUUAGUAAUAAAUUUUGAUGAAAUCAAUUAAUUGAGGAAAGCAUAAGAGGCAGAACUAAUGAAAUCAUUUAACCAACAAACAUGAUGCUUUGCUUAUAAGAAAAUAAAUCCAAGCAAUCAGAUGACUCAGAUGUUCUUCGAGUGAGAAACAAAUUUGGCCAAUUUGACAAUAUGGAAUUUUAAUUAAACGCUUCUACGCAUCUUCGCUGAUCGACAAGGAGAGAGAUAGAGAGAGAGGAGAGUGUCAACAACGUCAAAAAGUCGGCAAAGUCAUCCACGGAAUAGAGGCCCAGUUGAGCUGGUGUCCCAAGCUCCACCAGCUGAAGUCCAAGAC